UUAAGCGACUAAGCGUACACGGUGGAUGCCCUGGCAGUCAGAGGCGAUGAAGGACGUGCUAAUCUGCGAUAAGCGUCGGUAAGGUGAUAUGAACCGUUAUAACCGGCGAUUUCCGAAUGGGGAAACCCAGUGUGAUUCGUCACACUAUCAUUAACUGAAUCCAUAGGUUAAUGAGGCGAACCGGGGGAACUGAAACAUCUAAGUACCCCGAGGAAAAGAAAUCAACCGAGAUUCCCCCAGUAGCGGCGAGCGAACGGGGAGCAGCCCAGAGCCUGAAUCAGUGUGUGUGUUAGUGGAAGCGUCUGGAAAGGCGCGCGAUACAGGGUGACAGCCCCGUACACAAAAAUGCACAUACUGUGAGCUCGAUGAGUAGGGCGGGACACGUGGUAUCCUGUCUGAAUAUGGGGGGACCAUCCUCCAAGGCUAAAUACUCCUGACUGACCGAUAGUGAACCAGUACCGUGAGGGAAAGGCGAAAAGAACCCCGGCGAGGGGAGUGAAAAAGAACCUGAAACCGUGUACGUACAAGCAGUGGGAGCACAGAGCAAUCUGUGUGACUGCGUACCUUUUGUAUAAUGGGUCAGCGACUUAUAUUCUGUAGCAAGGUUAACCGAAUAGGGGAGCCGAAGGGAAACCGAGUCUUAACUGGGCGUUAAGUUGCAGGGUAUAGACCCGAAACCCGGUGAUCUAGCCAUGGGCAGGUUGAAGGUUGGGUAACACUAACUGGAGGACCGAACCGACUAAUGUUGAAAAAUUAGCGGAUGACUUGUGGCUGGGGGUGAAAGGCCAAUCAAACCGGGAGAUAGCUGGUUCUCCCCGAAAGCUAUUUAGGUAGCGCCUCGUGAAUUCAUCUCCGGGGGUAGAGCACUGUUUCGGCAAGGGGGUCAUCCCGACUUACCAACCCGAUGCAAACUGCGAAUACCGGAGAAUGUUAUCACGGGAGACACACGGCGGGUGCUAACGUCCGUCGUGAAGAGGGAAACAACCCAGACCGCCAGCUAAGGUCCCAAAGUCAUGGUUAAGUGGGAAACGAUGUGGGAAGGCCCAGACAGCCAGGAUGUUGGCUUAGAAGCAGCCAUCAUUUAAAGAAAGCGUAAUAGCUCACUGGUCGAGUCGGCCUGCGCGGAAGAUGUAACGGGGCUAAACCAUGCACCGAAGCUGCGGCAGCGACGCUUAUGCGUUGUUGGGUAGGGGAGCGUUCUGUAAGCCUGCGAAGGUGUGCUGUGAGGCAUGCUGGAGGUAUCAGAAGUGCGAAUGCUGACAUAAGUAACGAUAAAGCGGGUGAAAAGCCCGCUCGCCGGAAGACCAAGGGUUCCUGUCCAACGUUAAUCGGGGCAGGGUGAGUCGACCCCUAAGGCGAGGCCGAAAGGCGUAGUCGAUGGGAAACAGGUUAAUAUUCCUGUACUUGGUGUUACUGCGAAGGGGGGACGGAGAAGGCUAUGUUGGCCGGGCGACGGUUGUCCCGGUUUAAGCGUGUAGGCUGGUUUUCCAGGCAAAUCCGGAAAAUCAAGGCUGAGGCGUGAUGACGAGGCACUACGGUGCUGAAGCAACAAAUGCCCUGCUUCCAGGAAAAGCCUCUAAGCAUCAGGUAACAUCAAAUCGUACCCCAAACCGACACAGGUGGUCAGGUAGAGAAUACCAAGGCGCUUGAGAGAACUCGGGUGAAGGAACUAGGCAAAAUGGUGCCGUAACUUCGGGAGAAGGCACGCUGAUAUGUAGGUGAAGUCCCUCGCGGAUGGAGCUGAAAUCAGUCGAAGAUACCAGCUGGCUGCAACUGUUUAUUAAAAACACAGCACUGUGCAAACACGAAAGUGGACGUAUACGGUGUGACGCCUGCCCGGUGCCGGAAGGUUAAUUGAUGGGGUUAGCGCAAGCGAAGCUCUUGAUCGAAGCCCCGGUAAACGGCGGCCGUAACUAUAACGGUCCUAAGGUAGCGAAAUUCCUUGUCGGGUAAGUUCCGACCUGCACGAAUGGCGUAAUGAUGGCCAGGCUGUCUCCACCCGAGACUCAGUGAAAUUGAACUCGCUGUGAAGAUGCAGUGUACCCGCGGCAAGACGGAAAGACCCCGUGAACCUUUACUAUAGCUUGACACUGAACAUUGAGCCUUGAUGUGUAGGAUAGGUGGGAGGCUUUGAAGUGUGGACGCCAGUCUGCAUGGAGCCGACCUUGAAAUACCACCCUUUAAUGUUUGAUGUUCUAACGUUGACCCGUGAUCCGGGUUGCGGACAGUGUCUGGUGGGUAGUUUGACUGGGGCGGUCUCCUCCUAAAGAGUAACGGAGGAGCACGAAGGUUGGCUAAUCCUGGUCGGACAUCAGGAGGUUAGUGCAAUGGCAUAAGCCAGCUUGACUGCGAGCGUGACGGCGCGAGCAGGUGCGAAAGCAGGUCAUAGUGAUCCGGUGGUUCUGAAUGGAAGGGCCAUCGCUCAACGGAUAAAAGGUACUCCGGGGAUAACAGGCUGAUACCGCCCAAGAGUUCAUAUCGACGGCGGUGUUUGGCACCUCGAUGUCGGCUCAUCACAUCCUGGGGCUGAAGUAGGUCCCAAGGGUAUGGCUGUUCGCCAUUUAAAGUGGUACGCGAGCUGGGUUUAGAACGUCGUGAGACAGUUCGGUCCCUAUCUGCCGUGGGCGCUGGAGAACUGAGGGGGGCUGCUCCUAGUACGAGAGGACCGGAGUGGACGCAUCACUGGUGUUCGGGUUGUCAUGCCAAUGGCACUGCCCGGUAGCUAAAUGCGGAAGAGAUAAGUGCUGAAAGCAUCUAAGCACGAAACUUGCCCCGAGAUGAGUUCUCCCUGAGACUUUAAGUCUCCUGAAGGAACGUUGAAGACGACGACGUUGAUAGGCCGGGUGUGUAAGCGCAGCGAUGCGUUGAGCUAACCGGUACUAAUGAACCGUGAGGCUUAACCUU
rnacentral:rRNA from 1 species